rnacentral:rRNA from 1 species
GAUGAACGCUGGCGGCGUGCCUAAUACAUGCAAGUCGAGCGAACGGACGAGAAGCUUGCUUUUCUGAUGUUAGCGGCGGACGGGUGAGUAACACGUGGAUAACCUACCUAUAAGACUGGGAUAACUUCGGGAAACCGGAGCUAAUACCGGAUAAUAUUUUGAACCGCAUGGUUCAAAAGUGAAAGACGGUCUUGCUGUCACUUAUAGAUGGAUCCGCGCUGCAUUAGCUAGUUGGUAAGGUAACGGCUUACCAAGGCAACGAUGCAUAGCCGACCUGAGAGGGUGAUCGGCCACACGGGAACUGGGACACGGACCAGACUCCUACGGGAGGCAGCAGUAGGGAAUCUGCCGCAAUGGGCGAAAGCCUGACGGAGCAACGCCGCGUGAGUGAUGAAGGUCUUCGGAUCGUAAAACUCUGUUAUUAGGGAAGAACAUAUGUGUAAGUAACUGUGCACAUCUUGACGGUACCUAAUCAGAAAGCCACGGCUAACUACGUG